GGGCCGUUAGCUCAGUUGGUAGAGCAACUGACUUUUAAUCAGUGGGUCACAGGUUCAAAUCCUGUACGGCUCACCA
rnacentral:tRNA from 7 species